AUUGAACGCUGGCGGCAGGCCUAACACAUGCAAGUCGAACGAGUGGCGGACGGGUGAGUAAUGUCUGGGAAACUGCCCGAUGGAGGGGGCUAACUACUGGAAACGGUAGCUAAUACCGCAUACUAUCGGAUGAGCCCAUAUGGGAUUAUCUAGUAGGUGGGGUACCGGCUCACCUAGGCGGCGAUCCCUAGCUGGUCUGAGAGGAUUACCGACAACCCGGGAACUGGGAGACGGUCCAGGCUCCUACGGGAGGCAGCAGUGGGGAAUAUUGCACAAUGGGCGCAAGCCUGAUGCAGCCAUGCCGCGUGUAUGAAGAAGGCCUUAGGGUUGUAAAGUACUUUCAGCGAGGAGGCGGUACCCGCAGAAGAAGCACCGGCUAACUCCGUGCCAGCAGCCGCGGUAAUAC
rnacentral:rRNA from 1 species